UCCCUGAUAAUCCAGUGGUUAGGACUUUGCCCUUACACUGCAGUUGUCAUGGGUUCAAUCCCUGGUUGGGGAA
rfam:Ovis aries breed Texel chromosome 15, whole genome shotgun sequence.